AGAAUGUAGAGGUAUAAAGAGAAGAGAUUGAGGGAAAAAUAUGAAGUCCUGAUAUUAGAUAGAGAUUGUCUAACAUUGAUAAACAAGAAAUAUAGGGGUAUAACUGUAUUGAUGAUAGUUACAAUGAAGUUAUGUAGAAGAACUAAAAACAGUGCUGUAAUUGCUAUUAUUUGAGGGAAAGGUGAAUAGGCUCCUUGUCUAUGAUUGUAGGACUUCAACACUGUCUAAAAUUUGAUAUAUGAAGAAAUGGUAAUGUAUGCAUACUAUCUAGAGAAAAAAAGGUAACCCCCGAAACAACUAAAAACAAAGUUUAAAAGCAUUUGCUGUGGUGUGGGGAUGGAGUAAAGGGAACUUGAGGAGACAGGACAAUUGCUCUUUCUUAUGUUAUUUUUAUAUAUUUGAUUUUUUUAACCACAUGCAAAUACUUGAAAAUUACAAGUUAAUUCUAAUUCUUUUAAACAGUAAUAAAAACUUGAGUUACAUUUUUUUUUUUCUUUCAGACACACUGUUCUUGCUUCUUAUAUGUGGUUUCAUUCUGUAUCUACAGUCUAGUAAUUCCAGCUAUGUAUAGUUCAGUCAGUAUGCAUUUGAUUAAGUUGAAUGAAAAAAA